UGGGGGAUAUUGCACAAUGGGCGAAAGCCUGAUGCAGCGACGCCGCGUGGGGGAUGAAGGCCUUCGGGUUGUAAACUUCUUUUGCUCUGAACAAGGCGCACCAUGGGGUGUGUUGAGUGUAGGGGUUGAUUAGCGCCGGCUAACUACGUGCCAGCAGCCGCGGUAAUACGUAGGGCGCGAGCGUUGUCCGGAAUUAUUGGGCGUAAAGGGCUUGUAGGUGGCUGGUUGCGUCUGUCGUGAAAGCUCAUGGCUUAACGGUGGGUUUGCGGUGGGUACGGGCUGGCUUGAGUGCAGUAGGGGAGGCUGGAAUUCCUGGUGUAGCGGUGGAAUGCGCAGAUAUCAGGAGGAAUGCCGGUGGCGAAGGCGGGUCUCUGGGCUGUUACUGACACUGAGGAGCGAAAGCAUGGGGAGCGAACAGG
rnacentral:rRNA from 1 species